GUGGCGGUCUGUAUGGUUCCUGCACUGAGCAGUGUGCGGCAACCGAAGUGACUCCACACAGAGCGAGGCUGGUUCCUGCCGACAGGGCCUGUAGAGGCAUCGGGUUUCCCUGUGCGAUGGUUCCAUACAUC